UGGGGAAUAUUGCACAAUGGGCGCAAGCCUGAUGCAGCCAUGCCGCGUGUAUGAAGAAGGCCUUCGGGUUGUAAAGUACUUUCAGCGGGGAGGAAGGGAGUAAAGUUAAUACCUUUGCUCAUUGACGUUACCCGCAGAAGAAGCACCGGCUAACUCCGUGCCAGCAGCCGCGGUAAUACGGAGGGUGCAAGCGUUAAUCGGAAUUACUGGGCGUAAAGCGCACGCAGGCGGUUUGUUAAGUCAGAUGUGAAAUCCCCGGGCUCAACCUGGGAACUGCAUCUGAUACUGGCAAGCUUGAGUCUCGUAGAGGGGGGUAGAAUUCAGGGUGUAGCGGUGAAAUGCGUAGAGAUCUGGAGGAAUACCGGUGGCGAAGGCGGCCCCCUGGACGAAGACUGACGCUCAGGUGCGAAAGCGUGGGGAGCAAACAGG
rnacentral:rRNA from 1 species